rnacentral:tRNA from 1 species
GGAUCAAUGGUGUAAUGGCAGUCACGCCUCCUUGUCACGGAAGAGAUACGAGUUCGAUUCUCGUUUGAUCCGCCA